GCUCGAUCGCCCUCUCACAAGUACAUGUUGUUUCAGAUUCUUCAUCAUUCCCACCUUAUGGUAGUGUGCUUGCAAACCUCAGCUAGGCCUACAACUGCUACUACAGUAAUUAGCCAAUGACAUCACCACAGCACGCACUGGUGUCCUGCAAUGUCUGCUCCUGUACCUUGGAGAUAAUUCCAGCGAAUUCUUCCUCAGCUGCUCAGAUUCAGACUCUGCAUGUGACUUCACACAGGUGCGUGUUGAUGUUCUUACAAUCAUGACUGAGGAGACGCCACCUUUGAUUAACAGCACUGCAAUCAUCCUUGAAGGCAACAUUGUCACGGAUGAGAUUCCCACAACCUCUUAAGCACUUUGUCUUCUGUUCGGCUUAAUGUGUGCACACCAUCUGGAUUACCCCAAAGGUAUGAAGAACACAUUUGACUUCAUCCAGAAGAUGUUGUUGAACCUCAGACGACAUUAUAUGAUGUUUAGUAUUAGAGUGUAGUGUGCUUCUGCAACAAAUGUUGAAUAUAUCAAAGUUGUUAAAGAGCUGACUUACAUUUUGCUGCUUUGAAGGUGUAUGUACAAGUACAGUUGUAUGUAAUAAUCCAGUUUUAAUUAUCAGGUUUAAUUCAGAUUUUACAUUUUUACAGACUAAAUGUUGCCAAGUCUGUUUGUUGCUGUGAGACAUUCAGAAAAGUGUCCAUUGUGAAUCCUGGGCCUUGUGUUAG